rnacentral:lncRNA from 1 species
UGUGAGACCCCGGAACUGGGCCCGGUCCAUUUGACCGGCCCAGUCCCAGGUUUCGGCCUCACGUGCGUGGCACGUGAGGCACCGGGAUGGAAGGAUCCAUCCCGAAGAAGGAGGAAGCCCUGUUUUUAGGGCUUCUUCUCCUUUUCUUUGAGGCCACCCGAGUCCCCUCUUCUUCCUCGUGCAGCCGCCCAAGAGAGAGAGAGAGAGAGAGAGAG